rnacentral:misc_RNA from 1 species
GAUGAAGAACGUAGCGAAAUGCGAUACGUAAUGUGAAUUGCAGAAUUCCGUGAAUCAUCGAAUCUUUGAACGCACAUUGCGCCCGCCAGUAUUCUGGCGGGCAUGCCUGUUCGAGCGUCAUUUCAACCAUCAAGCCCCCGGCUUGUGUUGGGGACCUGCGGCUGCCGCAGGCCCUGAAAAGCAGUGGCGGGCUCGCUGUCACACCGAGCGUAGUAGCAUACAUCUCGCUCUGGGCGUGCUGCGGGUUCCGGCCGUUAAACCACCUUCAUAACCCAAGGUUGACCUCGGAUCAGGUAGGAAGACCCGCUGAACUUAAGCAUAUCAAUAAGCGGAGGA